rnacentral:rRNA from 1 species
AGAGUUUGAUCAUGGCUCAGAUUGAACGCUGGCGGCAGGCCUAACACAUGCAAGUCGAACGGUAACAGGAAACAGCUUGCUGUUUCGCUGACGAGUGGCGGACGGGUGAGUAAUGUCUGGGAAACUGCCUGAUGGAGGGGGAUAACUACUGGAAACGGUAGCUAAUACCGCAUAACGUCGCAAGACCAAAGAGGGGGACCCUCGGGCCUCUUGCCAUCGGAUGUGCCCAGAUGGGAUUAGCUUGUUGGUGGGGUAACGGCUCACCAAGGCGACGAUCCCUAGCUGGUCUGAGAGGAUGACCAGCCACACUGGAACUGAGACACGGUCCAGACUCCUACGGGAGGCAGCAGUGGGGAAUAUUGCACAAUGGGCGCAAGCCUGAUGCAGCCAUGCCGCGUGUAUGAAGAAGGCCUUCGGGUUGUAAAGUACUUUCAGCGGGGAGGAAGGGAGUAAAGUUAAUACCUUUGCUCAUUGACGUUACCCGCAGAAGAAGCACCGGCUAACUCCGUGCCAGCAGCCGCGGUAAUACGGAGGGUGCAAGCGUUAAUCGGAAUUACUGGGCGUAAAGCGCACGCAGGCGGUUUGUUAAGUCAGAUGUGAAAUCCCCGGGCUCAACCUGGGAACUGCAUCUGAUACUGGCAAGCUUGAGUCUCGUAGAGGGGGGUAGAAUUCCAGGUGUAGCGGUGAAAUGCGUAGAGAUCUGGAGGAAUACCGGUGCGAAGGCGGCCCCCUGGACGAAGACUGACGCUCAGGUGCGAAAGCGUGGGGAGCAAACAGGAUUAGAUACCCUGGUAGUCCACGCCGUAAACGAUGUCGACUUGGAGGUUGUGCCCUUGAGGCGUGGCUUCCGGAGCUAACGCGUUAAGUCGACCGCCUGGGGAGUACGGCCGCAAGGUUAAAACUCAAAUGAAUUGACGGGGGCCCGCACAAGCGGUGGAGCAUGUGGUUUAAUUCGAUGCAACGCGAAGAACCUUACCUGGUCUUGACAUCCACGGAAGUUUUCAGAGAUGAGAAUGUGCCUUCGGGAACCGUGAGACAGGUGCUGCAUGGCUGUCGUCAGCUCGUGUUGUGAAAUGUUGGGUUAAGUCCCGCAACGAGCGCAACCCUUAUCCUUUGUUGCCAGCGGUCCGGCCGGGAACUCAAAGGAGACUGCCAGUGAUAAACUGGAGGAAGGUGGGGAUGACGUCAAGUCAUCAUGGCCCUUACGACCAGGGCUACACACGUGCUACAAUGGCGCAUACAAAGAGAAGCGACCUCGCGAGAGCAAGCGGACCUCAUAAAGUGCGUCGUAGUCCGGAUUGGAGUCUGCAACUCGACUCCAUGAAGUCGGAAUCGCUAGUAAUCGUGGAUCAGAAUGCCACGGUGAAUACGUUCCCGGGCCUUGUACACACCGCCCGUCACACCAUGGGAGUGGGUUGCAAAAGAAGUAGGUAGCUUAACCUUCGGGAGGGCGCUUACCACUUUGUGAUUCAUGACUGGGGUGAAGUCGUAACAAGGUA